AGAAUCAACGCUGGCGGCGUGCCUAACACAUGCAAGUCGAACGAGAAAGUGGAGCAAUCCAUGAGUAAAGUGGCGACCGGGUGAGUAACACGUGACUAACCUACCUUCGAGUGGGGGAUAACCUCGGGAAACCGGGCUAAUACCGCAUAACAUCUUUGAAGUGGAAAUUUCGGAGAUCAAAGGAGCAAUUCGCUGGAAGAGGGGGUCGCGGCUGAUUAGCUAGUUGGCGGGUAACGCCACCAAGGCUUAGAUCGGUA
rnacentral:rRNA from 1 species